AUUGAACGCUGGCGGCAGGCCUAACACAUGCAAGUCGAACGAGUGGCGGACGGGGGAGUAAUGUAUGGGAAACUGCCUGAUGGAGGGGGAUAACUACUGGAAACGGUAGCUAAUACCGCAUACCAUAAGAUGUGCCCAGAUGGGAUUAGCUAGGUGGUGGGGUAAAGGCUCACCAAGGAGACGAUCCCUAGCUGGUCGGAGAGGAUGACCAGCCACACUGGAACUGAGACACGGUCCAUACUCCUACGGUAUGCAGCAGUGGGGAAUAUUGCUGAAUGGGUGCAAGCCUGAUGCAGCCAUGCCGCGUGUAUGCAGAAGGCCUUCGGGUUUUAAAGUACUUUCAGCGGGGAGGCGUUACCCGCAGAAGAAGCACCGGCUAACUCCGUGCCAGCCGCCGCGGUAAUAC
rnacentral:rRNA from 1 species